AGAGUUUGAUCCUGGCUCAGGACGAACGCUGGCGGCGUGCUUAACACAUGCAAGUCGAACGGAAAGGCCCCUUCGGGGGUACUCGAGUGGCGAACGGGUGAGUAACACGUGGGUGAUCUGCCCUGCACUUUGGGAUAAGCCUGGGAAACUGGGUCUAAUACCGAAUAGGACCGCAUGCUUCAUGGUGUGUGGUGGAAAGCUUUUGCGGUGUGGGAUGGGCCCGCGGCCUAUCAGCUUGUUGGUGGGGUAAUGGCCUACCAAGGCGACGACGGGUAGCCGGCCUGAGAGGGUGUCCGGCCACACUGGGACUGAGAUACGGCCCAAACUCCUACGGGAGGCAGCAGUGGGGAAUAUUGCACAAUGGGCGCAAGCCUGAUGCAGCGACGCCGCGUGGGGGAUGACGGCCUUCGGGUUGUAAACCUCUUUCAGUAUCGGCGAAGCUCCAGGAUUUUUCUUGGGGUGACGGUAGGUACAGAAGAAGCACCGGCCAACUACGUGCCAGCAGCCGCGGUAAUACGUAGGGUGCGAGCGUUGUCCGGAAUUACUGGGCGUAAAGAGCUCGUAGGUGGUUUGUCACGUUGUCUGUGAAAACUCACAGCUUAACUGUGGGCGUGCGGGCGAUACGGGCAGACUGGAGUACUGUAGGGGAGACUGGAAUUCCUGGUGUAGCGGUGGAAUGCGCAGAUAUCAGGAGGAACACCGGUGGCGAAGGCGGGUCUCCGGGCAGUAACUGACGCUGAGGAGCGAAAGCGUGGGGAGCGAACAGGAUUAGAUACCCUGGUAGUCCAA
rnacentral:rRNA from 1 species